AUUGAACGCUGGCGGCAUGCUUUACACAUGCAAGUCGAACGGCAGCGCGGGCUUCGGCCUGGCGGCGAGUGGCGAACGGGUGAGUAAUACAUCGGAACGUGCCCAGUAGUGGGGGAUAGCUCGGCGUAAGCCGGAUGAAUACCGCAUACGACCUGAGGGUGAAAGCGGGGGAUCUUCGGACCUCGCGCUAUUGGAGCGGCCGAUGGCAGAUUAGCUAGUUGGUGGGGUAAAGGCCUACCAAGGCGACGAUCUGUAGCUGGUCUGAGAGGACGACCAGCCACACUGGGACUGAGACACGGCCCAGACUCCUACGGGAGGCAGCAGUGGGGAAUUUUGGACAAUGGGCGAAAGCCUGAUCCAGCAAUGCCGCGUGUGUGAUGAAGGCCUUCGGGUUGUAAAGCACUUUUGGCGGGAACGAAAAGGACUGUGCCAAUACCACGGUUCGAUGACGGUACCCGCAGAAUAAGCACCGGCUAACUACGUG
rnacentral:rRNA from 1 species